GUUCAUAACCCUUUGUUGUCCGACUCUGUUGCCUCCGGGGCGACCCUGCCUUCGGGCGGGGGCUCCGGGUGGACACUUCAAACUCUUGCGUAACUUUGCAGUCUGAGUAAACUUAAUUAAUAAAUUAAAACUUUUAACAACGGAUCUCUUGGUUCUGGCAUCGAUGAAGAACGCAGCGAAAUGCGAUAAGUAAUGUGAAUUGCAGAAUUCAGUGAAUCAUCGAAUCUUUGAACGCACAUUGCGCCCCCUGGUAUUCCGGGGGGCAUGCCUGUUCGAGCGUCAUUUCACCACUCAAGCCUCGCUUGGUAUUGGGCAACGCGGUCCGCCGCGUGCCUCAAAUCGACCGGCUGGGUCUUCUGUCCCCUAAGCGUUGUGGAAACUAUUCGCUAAAGGGUGUUCGGGAGGCUACGCCGUAAAACAACCCCAUUUCUAAGGUUGACCUCGGAUCAGGUAGGGAUACCCGCUGAACUUAAGCAUAU
rnacentral:rRNA from 1 species